rnacentral:rRNA from 1 species
UACCAGACUCCUACGGGAGGCAGCAGUGGGGGAUAUUGCACAAUGGGGGAAACCCUGAUGCAGCGACGCCGCGUGAGUGAAGAAGUAUUUCGGUAUGUAAAGCUCUAUCAGCAGGGAAGAAAAUGACAGUACCUGACCAAGAAGCCCCGGCUAACUCCGUGCCAGCAGCCGCGGUAAUACGGAGGAUGCGAGCGUUAUCCGGAUUUAUUGGGUUUAAAGGGUGCGCAGGCGGAGGUGCAAGUUAGCGGUCAAAUUGCGGGGCUCAACCCCGGACUGCCGUUGAAACUGCAGCCCUUGAGUGCGCGAGAAGUAUGCGGAAUGCGUGGUGUAGCGGUGAAAUGCAUAGAGAUCACGCAGAACUCCGAUUGCGAAGGCAGCAUACCGGCGCGCAACUGACGCUCAUGCACGAAAGCGUGGGUAUCGAACAGGAUUAGAUACCCCGGUACG